GACCCACCGACGGCGACUAAUUGAAAACCAUACAUAUCUGGCCUCCUAAUAAGCGCGCUAGCUAGCUAGCUACCAUUCGUCGUCGUCCAUGGCCGCGGUGCGCUUCAGCUCCGACGACCUCCGAUCGAUCAUCCUACUCUCAGGGCAGCACGCCGGCCGGCUGCCCGGCCGUGUCGUGCUCCCGCUCGGCACCGCCCGCACAUGGUGCCAUGGUGGCAUGCAUCAUAGACAGUGUAUUGGCCGGUUUUCUAGGAGACAUAUGCUCCGUACAAGUGUUGUUACCUGAUCACAUCCUCAUAAACCGGCUUAUGCAUAAUCAAAAAAGGUUCAGGAUGAUCAGUUAUGAUCAUAGAUGGAGCUUUUAGCAAACAGAGAUCGCCCCACCAGUAAGUAUUUUGCAGGUGAGCAACAGUGGCAUCGGUGGCACCGUGGCAGUAGUGCCCUUGCUGUAUAUUGGUAAUGUAACCUAAUUAACUGAACUAUGAGUUUUUUUCUUAUCCAGUUCUUUUCGUUUAGUGCCAUUUUUAAGCAUGCAAACUAUGACUAUAUACUCCAUAUUUAUGGUACUGGUAGUUGAACCUAUACCCUAGUUGUCAGGUUGCACUAUAGUAGUAUCAGUGGUGGAGGGAGGAUGGAGAAGAAGGGGGCUGAAUCAAUGAAGUUGUUAAUUUGUAUAAAGUUUUAAUGGUGAUUUAAUAUUUUGCUACAGUAAUUUUAGUGUAAUUAUUUGCUUUAGGGGGGCUGGAGCCCCCAGCCCCACUGUGCAUCUGCCGCUGAGUAGUAUAUAUGGAUGUCGUAUAGCUAGCUGGAUUUCGAGCGAGAGGCAGCAUUAUUGUAGAUUUGUAGUGACUUAUUAUUGCUCGUGAUUUGGUGGUGGUGGAUGUAAAAGUCGAUCUUAUUAUUGGAUAAAAAUGUUGAAAAGUACGUACUCCUAUCCAUUCACAGCAUGCCAACAAGUACGAGAAUCAGUCUAGCACGCACAGGCGCACAACAUGCCAACUACCAAGUACUUCACAGCAGCUACUAGCUCUCGCGAUUGUAUGUGGCAGCAGAUAGAGAGGGGUGCAUGCAGACGUGUACGGUGUACCGCUGUGCCAGACCAAACCGUUUCACUGCUGGCUUGACAUGCAGAUGGAUGUGAUAACGCCUGGCCGGCUCCAUUUUGCAAUGCUUCACCGAUCACCAUAUAUACCUUGUAUAAAUAGGAAAUUACUAAGCAAAGUUGCAUAUAUGCUUCUUAAAUUCUCUCUGCUUCCUUGCCGGCCAUGUCAUGCAUGGUCGUCUUUAAUUUGCUCGUCAUCGGCAUGAUCCUCCCUCAGCUAAUCUUUUAUUGUGCAUGUGAUUAUUAGGUCAAUCUCAAUGAGAGUGUUAUGGGAGUGAGUAUUAAAUUUGCUGACAUUACAGAAGAGAGAGAAGGAAAAGUGACAUGGGAUGUGAGUGGAGUGUCUUCACCAUGACACUACUUCGGCUGGGUUACUUAGUUCACAGUCUUAGCAACUGUGCGAUGACAGUACUCCCCACUGAUACUGACCUUAUGAGAGUGUGCAUGCUUAUGUUAAUUUGGCUAGCACUAGUAGCUUUGUUUGGAUCAUUAUAUUCCCAUGUAUAUCUACUCUCUCCAUUUUUAUUUACAUGUCGUAUUAGUUUUUGCUUAAUAAAUCAAACUUGACAAACUUUGACCAAGUCUAUAGAAAAGUAUAGCAACAAUACUAUCAACAUAUACUUUGAAUUCGUGGUGGAUUCAAUGAAACAAACUUUAUAUUAUAACUCUUAUUAUUUCUUUUCUAUAAGUUUAGUCAAAGCUUGCAAAAUUUAACUUAAGAUAAACCUAAUACGACAUGUAAAUAAAAACAGAGAGGGACUAUGUUGAUAAACGAAUGACCUGGAGCCGAUAAUAGCCCGUCAACUAAAAAUAUAAGUGUACUUCUAGCCACCAAGAUGUCCAACUACUUAUUAUGAAACGAUAUAUUAUUUAAGUUAGACAUCUCAUUCCACAUUUCCUAAACCGAUUGAUCUUUUUUUCUUGUGCCUUUUACUUUUCAUUUUUGACAGAUUGAUGGAGCCAAUCACAUAUAUGUAUCUACACGAUGAUGCGUGCUGCGUUUCAAAGCUGCCAUUGCAGACGGGUCAUCAUCAUACGAAUGGGGCCCAAUAUGCAAGCAUACAGAAUGGAAUGGAAACGACCGGCCGGCCGGUUCGCUGCUGCCCUUGCCUCACUCCACCUCCGGCUCCGCCAGGUGGAAGGGGGCGCAACAGCUGGCAAGAUGAACCCUGUCCAGAAGAAGUGGCUCGCGUACUGGCUCUUGGUGCUUGCUGCUUCUGUCAUCUUUCUGGACAACCAUAUCGACGCUGCCUCCAAGGACCAACUGUUCCCUCCAGAGCUUCCCAUGUUCGUCGUGUUCCUGUGUGCAAUCUGCCUCAUUCUUCGCGCCAUGAUGCAGAGAUGACGGGAGAGUACAUCGAUUGCGUCCAUGCCCGCGCAUGUUGCUCUGCGACAUGCGCGAUCGAAUGGUUUCAGCUUAGUUAUUAUAUCACACGAAUGAACAAAUCUGUGUUUGUAAUAAUUCCAGGAUAUGUUGGACCACCGAUCGAGAAUGCCCAGAGCACCUGGCUCAGUCUUUUGGUUGUGAAUUUGCAUUGCUUGUAUACACAUUUCCGGCAUGGGCGGUAUGCCGUUUAGUAUUUGGCAAGAUCGUGUUUACUCCUAAA